rnacentral:lncRNA from 1 species
AGGUGGACUCUGCUAACUCAAGUAACUUCAUUAAAUCAUCUUCCAACACACUCAUUGAACUAUUAAUGUCUCUUGUGGCGUUAUUCUGCAACAACUGGUGCCCUACUUGGACCUGGCAUCUCAACGACUGCAGCGAUAUCAUUCUGUACUUCGGCUACAUUUUCUGAAGAAACAAUUGGUGCAGUUGCAUUUUCCACUCUUUUUAGACAACCACGAAUAAGAUUCUCCCAUUCAUCAGCAACCAAGUCAUUUUAACCAGGAAAGACUACAAAGUAUGACGGAAGAAUGUAAAGGAUACUGUUGGCUGGAGAAUCAAGGCUCCACCUGCUACUUGAAUGCAGUUCUUCAGACGCUCUUCAUGACGAAGGAGUUCAGGGAACACGUCGACAGUGCUUCAUCUGGUGAUAAGUUCAUUGAAGAGCUGAAGGAAUUGUUCAGUGAAUUGAAUAAGGAAGUGAAAAAAGUCGUUUCAGCAGCUGGGAUCACAAGCAGCCUCAGCAUUAACAGUUGUUUGUCAACAACGAGACGCAGCAGAACUUCUACAUUUGAUCCUUAAAAAGACUCCUGGAUCCUCUGAGCUUUUUAAGGGCACAAUCAAGACCACAAAAACAUGCAGCUCAUGCGGACACAAACAAGAAAGCUUGGAGGAUUUUCUCUCAUUGCCAGUGUCUUUUAAAGACUCUCCGGAUGUGGAAGAUGCUUUAAAGGCACAUAUUCAUCAAAUGUGUGGAAAGUAUCAGCUGAGUUGUUGUCACUGUAACAGAACAGGCUGUAUAAAGGCAAAAAAGUGAGAUGAUCAACUUUCCAGAACUACUGAUUAUUCAGUUGAGCAGGUUUGAGAAGGUCUCACAUGGCUUCAGAAAAAAUGACCAGGAAGUGCUCAUUCGUCCUAAGAUUGAGGUUUUCUCACAAGUAUGAAUUCUAUGCCAAAGUAAACCAUUCUGGCACAUAUGAUGGUGGACACUAUAAUGCAGACAUCAAAUGUGAACAUAAAAUCUGGUAUCAAUUUGAUGACCACAGAGUCUCAAAGAUCUUAAAUGUCUGUUUCUUCACAGGAGUCCAAUUGCCUAUCUACUCGUGUACAGACGCAGAGACUAAA